rnacentral:lncRNA from 1 species
GGGGUUUGGGGCCAAUUAAUUCCAGGCUCUGCUCUCAGUGUAUCACUUCGUGCGUUUGAGGUGGUAUGAGCUCUCAUAUUCUUACAUUUCAUGCGCAUGCAUGUGCAGGACAUUCCCUUCACCUUCCUAGCGCCGUACCGUUAUCCGUCAANNNNNNNNNNNNNNNNNNNNNNNNNNNNNNNNNNNNNNNNNNNNNNNNNNNNUCUAGCGAACGUAAUUCGAAUCAUGUGGGCUCUUCUUAAUUAGGCAACGCCACCAAGGUUCCAGUGUUGCUUGGAGUCAACGCCAACGAGGGAGCUUUGGAGGUUCUUGGUCAAACCCGCGGCUUGGACCCCAUUGACGUGGAGGGCUUUUUCACCGUUGUGAACAGCCUGAUCCCCAUUUCGCCAUCCUUCAACGAACGGGUAUGUACGGAAACUUAACGGCUAACCGUUUACGGUUACAUUGGGUGCCGUACUCUUUCGUUCAGUGAACUACACGCCCUCAUUGAUAGAAUGUUUUUUAAAAGUAAUGUCGUACUGUUACCGUACUGUACGUGCAGCUGUACCAGCAGUACAACACGGACGAGUACUAUGGUGGCAGUUGGCUUCUUUCAGCUAUCAAUGUGAUUACAGGUGUGUAUGCGUAGGUACACGACAUUGUACGGCACGGAUACGGCCAUGCGUUACCGUACGUACACACGCUGUUUUGGGUGUGUGUGGGAGGGCUCUUACCUCCCAAGCGGGGUAAAGGGGUUUCGGGGAUCUGAGGGUGACGGUCCCGGUGCGACCCAACCAGCGCAACACGCACAGCCACAGGCAUGCUUGACGGCACACGACCUUUUCCGAUACUGACAACCCUGUAUAACAUUUUUUUCGCGUGGGGUCGCGUGCCGCCCGUUUGCUGCCCGUUUGCUGCCCGUUUGCUGUCCGUGGUUAGAUAAGACAUUCAACCCUUCCACUAUAUUUCCUAAAAACCCUAAGUAAAAUCCCUAAGUAAAAAUCCUAAGUAAAUUGUUGGCAGUGAAGUCCGUCAUGCAUUCCUGUGCUACUCCCCCCAUUCUCCCCUCCUGUCCCUGAUCCCCCUGCCCCCUCCUUCGCUCCGGAACCAGAUGGCGGCUACCACUGCCCCUCCCGCCGCGUUGUCAAGCUCCUGUCCGCCCAGGGACUCACCGUGCGGUACCACAUCCUGCAAACCUCGAAACCCAAGACAGGGUGUCCGCUGUUCGGUGAGCAGUGUAUGGGGGGGGGGAGGAGGGAGGGGGAGGGGGAGGGGGAGGGGGAGGGGGGGGAGGGGGAGGGGUGUAAUGGACAGCGAACAGGAUGCCUGUGUGUGCAUGUUAUGUACGGCCACAUAGUAGGACGCCGUACGUACGUACUCUACGUACGGCAGAUUGCCUAUUCGUCCGGACCUUACGAUAUGGAGGGUGCAUGCGUGUAUAAAUGCAUAUGUAUGUAUGCCCGGCUGCGGUGAUGUGACACCGCCUCAGCUUACAUGCCCGGGGGGCCCGCUCUCUUACGUCAUGCCGUACAUGCCGUGAAACCUCAGUGACUACUGGCUUGUUCUUUGGCGAGGAGUUCACCAACUUCAUGGAUGCGUUCCACUCUUAUGUAAGUUCGGGGUUUGGGGCCAAUUAAUUCCAGGCUCUGCUCUCAGUGUAUCACUUCGUGCGUUUGAGAUGGUAUGAGCUCUCAUAUUCUUACAUUUCAUGCGCAUGCACGUGCAGGACAUUCCCUUCACCUUCCUAGCGCCGUACCGUUAUCCGUUCAACCAGUGUCCCUUCACACCUAACGAGACGCAGCUUGCGUCGUACUUGUCGGGUAAGCGAAGUGCUG